rnacentral:rRNA from 1 species
CAGUAGCCACGGUAAUACGUAGGUGGCAAGCGUUGUCCGGAAUUAUUGGGCGUAAAGGGCUCGCAGGCGGUUUCUUAAGUCUGAUGUGAAAGCCCCCGGCUCAACCGGGGAGGGUCAUUGGAAACUGGGAAACUUGAGUGCAGAAGAGGAGAGUGGAAUUCCACGUGUAGCGGUGAAAUGCGUAGAGAUGUGGAGGAACACCAAUGGCGAAGGCGACUCUCUGGUCUGUAACUGACGCUGAGGAGCGAAAGCGUGGGGAGCGAACAGGAUUAGAUACCCCCGUAGUCCCUGUCUCUUAUCC